CGGGAUUGCCCCAGUAACGGCGAGUGAAGCGGCAACAGCUCAAAUUUGAAAUCUGACCUCCAUCGGGGUCCGAGUUGUAAUUUGUAGAGGAUGCUUCGGGUGACGGUCCGGCCUAAGUCCCUUGGAACAGGGUGUCAUAGAGGGUGAGAAUCCCGUCUGCGGUCGUGACCCGAUCCCGCCAGAAGCUCCUUCGACGAGUCGAGUUGUUUGGGAAUGCAGCUCUAAAUGGGUGGUAAAUUUCAUCUAAAGCUAAAUACCGGCCGGAGACCGAUAGCGCACAAGUAGAGUGAUCGAAAGAUGAAAAGCACUUUGGAAAGAGAGUCAAACAGUAUGUGAAAUUGUUGAAAGGGAAGCGCCUGCGACCAGACCUGUCUGCGGGCGAUCCCCCGCCGUUCUCGGCAGGGUACUCGUCCGUCAGCGGGCCAGCGUCGGUUUCGGCGGCCGGACAAAGGCCCCGGGAAUGUACCUACCUUCCGGGGAAGGCUUAUAGCCCGGGGUGCAAUGCGGCCAGCCGGGACUGAGGACCGCGCUUCGGCUAGGAUGCUGGCGUAAUGGUCGUAGGCGGCCCGUCUUGAAACACGGACCAAGGAGUCUAACAUUUAUGCGAGUGUUUGGGUGUCAAACCCAUGCGCGCAAUGAAAGUGAACGGAGGUGGGAACCCGUCCGGGCGCACCAUCGACCGAUCCAGAUGUCUUCGGAUGGAUUUGAGUAUGAGCAUAACUGUUGGGACCCGAAAGGUAAAUAUUCAUUUUCCAUACAUUCAAAGUCACUCUGCGUCACUCUUCCUUUUGCAUAUUUUUUUUUUUCAUGCUUCAUUAAUCAUUCAGACCAAUUGGGCAUAGGCUAAUGCUCCUCAUAGACGGUGAACUACACAUGGAUAGGGUGAAGCCAGAGGAAACUCUGGUGGAGGCUCGCAGCGGUUCUGACGUGCAAAUCGAUCGUCAAAUCAGUGUGUAGGGGCGAAAGACUAAUCGAACUGUCUGGUAGCUGGUUUCGGCCGAAGUUUCCCUCAGGAUAGCAGUAACGUUUUCAGUUUUAUGAGGUAAAGCGAAUGAUUAGAGGCCUUGGGGGCGUAACGCCCUUAACCUAUUCUCAAACUUUAAAUAUGUAAGAAGUCCUUGUUACUUAGUUGAACGUGGACAUUUGAAUGCACNGUUACUAGUGGGCCAUUUUUGGUAAGCAGAACUGGCGAUGCGGGAUGAACCGAACGCGAGGUUAAGGUGCCGGAAUGCACGCUCAUCAGACACCACAAAAAGUGUUAGUUCAUCUAGACAGCCGGACGGUGGCCAUGGAAGUCGGAACCCGCUAAGGAGUGUGUAACAACCCACCGGCCGAAUGAACUAGCCUUGAAAAUGGAUGGCGCUCAAGCGUGCUACCCAUACCUCNNNNNNNNNNNNAAAACGAUGCCCUGGNGAGUAGGCCGACGUGGAGGCCNGUGACGAAGC
rnacentral:rRNA from 1 species